UUGGCUAAGAUCAAGUGUAGUAUCUGUUCUUAUCAGCUUAAUAUUUGAUAUGUGAGCCAUUGGUUCACACGAUAUUAACUCAAUAUUUUGAGGGGAAGGUCCAUUAGAGUAGCUUGCUACUCGGGCCUUCAUGUGUCGCCUAGGCGUUGCACUACAGCCUAGGCCUGGCGCACCCUGCCAAUUCAAGUCUUAAUUGUUUUCUUCUCUUGCUCGACUCUGAUUAUGGAACUGGAAAUCGUUGACCUUCAAAUAAUUUUGACAGGUUUGAGUUAGCAGCAUAAACAGUGGCAAAACCAGAUAUUUCGGUAAGGGUGUUCAAGAUAAGUACAAAAAGUCAUUUGUAACCUUUAUACAUUAUAUAAUUUUCUGUAUGCACAAUGUAAUUUUCGACGAAACUGUAUGUAGCUACGCGACUAGCAGCAUUGAUAAUUGAGGCAGUUCACAACAGUAAAAACAUUGUUGACCCUAUCCUUCUAGUUAUGUGGAUUGUUAUUAUUCAUAAUAAUAAACCAAAUUCCA